UUGUUAUAGAAAAAUAUUUAUUUUUAAAAGUAUAAUGCUUUAUUAUUUGCAAUUUUUACAAUUGACAAUGCAUGGAGUUACAUAAGUAGUUUAUUACCGGGUGAAGUUUUCAGGAUCUCUUUAUGAUACAAAUAUUGCACUGAUAUUAUUGGGAGAAGUGCUAAGCUCCGCUUCAUAGGAUAUGGAGAUCGAACUGUCAAAAGUUUCAACAGUUUAGUUAGAGCUUAAGUUGUAUCUCAGAAUAAAAAAAAUAUCUGUACUGCUACAACAAUUACAUAUUUGAAACCAUGGAUUGAAUCUAAAAUCAUUCAAUUUAAAACAAAGAAAAGUAAUUGCAAAAUUUUAAAGCAAGAUAUCCUACAGAUAACAACUACUACGAUGUGUUAACGAACUUGACUACCUUUGAGGGUGUGUUGACGAGCUUGACUACCCUUGAAGGUGUAACGAGCUUGAAUAAUCCUUGAGGGUGUGUUGACGAGCUUGACUACCAUUGAGGGUGUGAUGACGAGCUUGACUACCCUUGAAGGUGUAACCAGCUUGAAUAAUCCUUGAGGGUGUGUUGACGAGCUUGACUACCAUUGAGGGUGUGUUGACGAGCUUGAAUACCCUUGAAGGUGUAACGAGCUUGAAUAAUCCUUGAGGGUGUAUUAACGAGCUUGACUAUACCCUUGAUGGUGUGUUGACGAGCUUGGCUGCCCUUGAGGGUGUGUUAACGAGUUUGACUACCCUCAAGUGUAUCUUGACGAGCUUGACUACCCUUGAAGGUGUGUUAGCGAGCUUGGCUACCCAU
rnacentral:lncRNA from 1 species